rnacentral:rRNA from 1 species
GCUAACUUCGUGCCAGCAGCCGCGGUAAUACGAAGGGGGCUAGCGUUGCGCGGAAUCACUGGGCGUAAAGGGUGCGUAGGCGGGUUUCUAAGUCAGAGGUGAAAGCCUGGAGCUCAACUCCAGAACUGCCUUUGAUACUGGAAGUCUUGAGUAUGGCAGAGGUGAGUGGAACUGCGAGUGUAGAGGUGAAAUUCGUAGAUAUUCGCAAGAACACCAGUGGCGAAGGCGGCUCACUGGGCCAUUACUGACGCUGAGGCACGAAAGCGUGGGGAGCAAACAGGAUUAGAUACCCUAGUAGUC